UUAUAGUUCUGAAGUUUAAAAUGAUAAUUCUAAGCAGGGUAGGAUGAUUGCGUUUGCUAAGAAGUUGGCUGAUUAUGUUGCUGCCAGUGGGAAGAAGCAUGUGAUUGUGCUUUCGAGCUUGGACUUUGGGAGGUGGCAGAGAAUUGAUAUCAAGCAAUGCCGAUGGAACAGAUUAUUAGUGCGAACAGCUUGGGUGGAUAACACUUCAGGAUUAUAACCCCAAUCAGAGGUCAUCUAAGUAUCUUAACACAUUAGUUGACGGCAAUGCCAUGCCAGAGAGCAGCUUCCUUUUUGAAGGUGAAUUGGAAGAAGAGGAAUACUACUACCCAAGCUUACCUUUUGCAGCUCUCUUUUCUUCCUUCAAGGUUUGCUUUUACUGAAUCAGGCAAAAGGAUUGAAUUAAGGUCACCUGUUUAUUAUGCUACUGCUCAGAAGGAGACAACACACCUGAUGCUUUCCAUUUGGCUGAAGCAGCAUGCAAACUUCUGGGCGUGAGUCCCAGUAAUUUCCAGGGCAACACUGAUAAUUGGCUUAUUCCAAUUUCUUGGAAGACUGUGUAUGGACCAUCGGCAGGUAUGUCUCUUUUAAGCAGGAGUAGGAUUCCUUUGAUCUGACGUAAGAUCUGCAGGGUUUGGGUACCUACUACCUCAUUUGAGCUUCUGCCUGACUUCUUCUAUUGGAAGAUAUUGAUAACCUAUUCUAAUCUAAUUAAUCUUUAGUACUCUUGAUCAAGCUUACUUGUGUACUGUCUAAAGCUGUGGUUUACUUUCCUACUUUGGUUCCUUUAGUUUUGUACAAAUACCUCCAAGAUGGAGAGACAAAAAUUAGAGAACUGAAUCAAGUUUAUCAGUUUUAUCAAUUUCAACUUCUAUUUUUGAGCAGAAUCUAAUUGCGUUGAAAACUGAAGAUGUACAUCUAUUCAAAUAAACCACUAAAAACUAAAAUAUUCUAUGAAAGCAUAUUUCUUCCACCCUUUUCAGCCGACACUGUCAUAGUACUAUUAAAACUCUGGAGCUUACGAAAUGGUUAAGUAGGAGAUGCUAAUCUUGCUUCUGUCUUAACAUUGUGCUUUUAAAACUCUGGCACUUACGAAAUGGUUGUAUAAGAUUGGUGCCACUGACAUUUUCGAUCUAUUAUAACACGUAGAACACUGAUACCAACAUUGUACCAAAAUCUUAAAGCUUCUUUUAAGUUAGAGCUUUUCCUGAUUGGUUACUAUUAGAGUACUAUUAGGUCUAAAUG